rnacentral:rRNA from 1 species
CCUACGGGGGGCAGCAGUGAGGAAUAUUGGUCAAUGGACGAGAGUCUGAACCAGCCAAGUAGCGUGAAGGAUGACUGCCCUAUGGGUUGUAAACUUCUUUUAUAUGGGAAUAAAAUGUUCCACGUGUGGGAUUUUGUAUGUACCAUAUGAAUAAGGAUCGGCUAACUCCGUGCCAGCAGCCGCGGUAAUACGGAGGAUCCGAGCGUUAUCCGGAUUUAUUGGGUUUAAAGGGAGCGUAGGUGGAUUGUUAAGUCAGUUGUGAAAGUUUGCGGCUCAACCGUAAAAUUGCAGUUGAAACUGGCAGUCUUGAGGACAGUAGAGGUGGGCGGAAUUCGUGGUGUAGCGGUGAAAUGCUUAGAUAUCACGAAGAACUCCGAUUGCGGAGGCAGUUCACUGGACUGCAAAUGGCACUGAGGCUCGAAAGUGUGGGUAUCAAACCGGAUUAGAUACCCUGGUAGUC